AUUACCACCUUGCAGAAACAGGUGUCUCUCAGGAGGAACUGACAUUCUUGAAGAGGAGUGGACACUCUUUCCUUGAUGCUGAUGAUGAUGGUAGCAGAAAGGGACAUGAAAACAUUGGUUUAAGUGGUUAUACAUGGGGAAUAUAGAAGAAGAUUCUGUUGACUGGUGCACCUGAAAACUUUGGAUUUAGAUAUAAACAAGAACAUCAAAAUUAAUAAAUAUAUGAUGGAAUGAAAAGGUGAGAUUUUUUUUAAGUCGAUAGAGCCAAUUAUAUUAUAAUAAGUUACAAUUUUAUAUAUUUAAUGAUGUGUUGGAGCGUUAUUGGCUCUAUUCACGGAUGUCGCGGUGGACAAAGUCUAUAUAAAAUUUUAUAGGAAAGAUGCUUGUCCUUGGACAUAGUUUGAAGGCAAGGAAUGGAAUAAGGAAUAAAUUCUGUUUUGUCUGCUUCAGUAAGUUUGGUACUUAUUCAGGCCACAUUUUAUAAAAUAGAAGAGGGGUCCACUUCUUUUAUUUCUUUCAUCGGCAUAAGACAGCCGGCGCUGCACCGACGAAUCUUAAGUAUUUGGGGCCCAUUGAGAAGAAGAAUAGGGAAGAAAAAGGGCUGUACUUGCUUCCAUACUUGCAUUUUUUGCAGGACUUGACAAUUCUUGCCUUGGAGAUGACUACCUGCAUACUCUUGACUUGCUUCUAUUAUCUAAUUUCUCCGGUAUGAUCUAUAUAACUCGGAUGACUUAUCUAUUUUUGCUCCAACCACUAAUAUGUUAUAUGAGUAUUUUAAAUUUAAUGAUUGAAGUAUAAAAAUUUAUGAACAAAAAGGGUCAUUGUGGUUUCUCAUACUUAACUAUUUCAAUCAAUUAGAGAAAAUACUCUAUGUUUUCGAUCAAUUAAGGAUAAAAUUAGAUCAUUUUAAUCCCUAAACUUGUUCAUUUUGUAUAAUCUUGUACUCAAUUGACCUUAAAAUAGAGAGCUUUGUCUUUAUUUGAUUAAAAUAACUAAGUGUAAGUUAAUUGAUCAUGACGCACAAAUUUUAAGGACCGGGAUGACCCUUUGCUUAAACAUCUAUCUUUAAAUAUAAGGCUAAUGGUCCAAAAAAUUGAAACAUUUUGCUUUUUAUAAAUCUAACUAAAGUAUUUAGUUCAAACAAUCCUAAUUCAUUUUAAAAAGGUUAUUGGUAACUUUAUUCUGAUUUCAUUAAUUCUUUAAUUUAUCAUGUAAUUUUAAUGUUUUAAUGGUAAUUAAGAAAAUCUUAAAAUUGUUUUUA